UGAUGGAGCCAACUAGAAUUCAUUAGCGACUAAAACGCUCAGAAAAAUGUAAUAGAAGAUAAUGACACCAUAUUACUAAGAGUACAGACCAAUGGCCGUGCCAGCUGUUGCGGUAAAACGGCUUGUACAAACGUUAGUCUUCAUAAAUGGGCAUAAAGGGUUCGUAGACGCGUUCAUUUUUAUUUCCCCCUUUUUWUUUAUAAAUGWAAAUCUUAUUCCGCUGGAAUGGARAUUGCCGACCUCCAUUCCAGCGGAAWAUAGGYUUCAUCAUAUCCAUAUAUAAUAAAUAUGACGCAGUAGUUUAUUUAUACCUAUUUUAUAUAGACGAUCGUCAAACUUCAAAUUCUAAAUGGAUUAAAAAGAUCCAUUUCGUUUUUGAUUUUCKAAUAUAUUUAAAUAGAAUAUAGGUCUAUUAUAUGUGAUUAAAUGAAAGGGUUAAGAUAUAACUUGAGGAGGAAACCUCSCAAAUAAAGGUGAAAUCUAACGGUAUUACAAAAARUWUAUUAAGUUGAAUAAUUAUUUAUAAUAAUUCMUUUUUAUAUAAAUAGAGUCUUWAAAUAAAUUUGAAAUAUCAUCUGAUAGAGGAAAGUACACAAYACUAGAAGAAGGGACRAAAUCCUAAAAGAUCAAGGGGAGUGCUAAAUGCGAAGGCUGUUUYCCARAUAAAGAUUGAAGUUGAGGAACUAAGGUUAGGGUAGGGAACAGGAUGUGCGACUUGAAAGCUUAAAUAAAAUAGUGUACUUAUAAAGUAUGUUAUCUUUCGUCAGAUAAUAGCCUACCUAAAUAUGCAUGAAUAGUAAUGUUUUUGWGUAAAGCUUUAGGGUAAAUGAAUUUAGGUUAUCAACCUAUUAUAACGAAUAGACAUCUCUUUAAACUAAGGAGACAAUUAUGUUUAUUAKUAUAAUUCAUUCGGGCUUAUUUCAUGGUUAAGGAAAYUGAACUUAUGUAHUAAACUUAUUAAURGACAACUAACGUCCUGGURMGUGGUGACGAACUAUUAUUUAUAAUGUAAAGUAMRACCUAAGGAAUAUUCUAUGUAUUUACACCAGGGAWUACCAUUAUUKGCAUUCAUACAUUUGCUAGUUAUUC
rnacentral:rRNA from 1 species